AACGAACGCUGGCGGCGUGGAUAAGACAUGCAAGUCGAACGGGAUAACAUCUGUAGCAAUACAGGUGUUAUUUAGUGGCGAACGGGUGCGUAACACGUGGGGAAUCUGCCGAGAAGUGGGGGAUAGCUCGCCGAAAGGCGAAUUAAUACCGCAUAUGAUCAGCUCAGACAUCUGAGCGACAUCAAAGCCGGGGUAACCUGGCGCUUCUUGAUGACCCCGCGGCCUAUCAGCUAGUUGGUGAGGUAACGGCUCACCAAGGCUAUGACGGGUAGCUGGUCUGAGAGGACGACCAGUCACACUGGAACUGAGACACGGUCCAGACACCUACGGGUGGCAGCAGUCGAGAAUUUUUCACAAUGGGGCAACCCUGAUGGAGCGACGCCGCGUGGAGGAUGAAGGCUUUC
rnacentral:rRNA from 1 species